CCUACGGGAGGCAGCAGUGGGGAAUAUUGGACAAUGGGCGCAAGCCUGAUCCAGCCAUACCGCGUGUGUGAAGAAGGCCUUUUGGUUGUAAAGCACUUUAAGCGAGGAGGAGGCUCUUGAGGAUAAUACCCUUGAUGAGUGGACGUUACUCGCAGAAUAAGCACCGGCUAACUCUGUGCCAGCAGCCGCGGUAAUACAGAGGGUGCGAGCGUUAAUCGGAAUUACUGGGCGUAAAGCGCGCGUAGGCGGCUUGUUAAGUCGGAUGUGAAAUCCCCGGGCUCAACCUGGGCACUGCAUUCGAUACUGGCAAGCUAGAGUAUGGGAGAGGAAGGUAGAAUUCCAGGUGUAGCGGUGAAAUGCGUAGAGAUCUGGAGGAAUACCGAUGGCGAAGGCAGCCUUCUGGCCUAAUACUGACGCUGAGGUGCGAAAGCAUGGGGAGCAAACAGGAUUAGAUACCCUGGUAGUCCAUGCCGUAAACGAUGUCACUAGCCGUUGGGGACCCUGNGUGUUAGUGNGCGNGCGACGCGUAGUAGUUGACGUCCGUUGGGUUAGGUACGGUUCGCGAGACGAACGUUACGAAGGAAGUUAGACGGCGNGAGACGNGCGACGGACGACGACGAGGGAGGUAGG
rnacentral:rRNA from 1 species